GGGUCAGUAGGUUGGUCGUGCCACCGGUACGUACUGGUCUCACUGAUUCCUCCUUCCUGAAGAACCGUAAUGCCAUUAAUUUGGUGUUGCGGGGAAACAGGACUGUUACCUUGAGAAAAUUAGAGUGUUUAAAGCAAGCUAACGCUUGAAUACAUUAGCAUGGAAUAAUGAAAUAGGACGAUCGAUCCUAUUUUGUUGGUUUCUAGGAUUGACGUA
rnacentral:rRNA from 1 species